UCAAAAACAUGUCCUUUUGAUAAUAAUUUAAGGUCUGACCUGCCCAAUGAAUAUUUAAAUGGCCGCAGUAUUUUGACUGUGCAAAGGUAGCAUAAUCAUUAGUUUUUUAAUUGUAAGCUGGAAUGAAUGGUUUGAUGAGAAAAUAACUGUCUCAAUUUAAUUGUUUUAGAACUUUAAUUUUAAGUGAAAAAGCUUAAAUUUUUAAGGAAGACGAGAAGACCCUAUAGAGUUUAAUAUUUUUAUAUUAUGAUUGGUUUUAGAUUUAUUUAAAAUUUUAAUAUGGAAUUAUUUUAUUGGGGUGAUAUUAAAAUUUAAUAAACUUUUAAUUUAUUGAAACAUUUUUUUGUGAAUAUUUGAUCCUAAUUUUUAGAUUAUAAGAUAAAAUUACCUUAGGGAUAACAGCGUAAUUUUUUUUAAGAGUUCUUAUCGAAAAAAAAGUUUGCGACCUCGAUGU
rnacentral:rRNA from 1 species